CCUACGGGUGACAGCAGUGAGGAAUAUUGGUCAAUGGUCGGGAGACUGAACCAGCCAAGCCGCGUGAGGGAUGACGGUACAGAGUAUCGUAAACCUCUUUUGUCAGGGAACAAAGGCGGGGACGUGUCCCCGUAUGAGUGUACCUGAAGAAAAAGCAUCGGCUAACUCCGUGCCAGCAGCCGCGGUAAUACGGAGAAUGCGAGCGUUAUCCGGAUUUAUUGGGUUUAAAGGGUUCGCAGGGGGUCUGUUAAGUCAGCGGUAAAAGCGCGGGGCUAAACCCCGCCCCUCCGUUGAAACUGGCAGUCUCGAGUUGGAGAGAAGUAGGCGGAAUGCGUGGUGUAGCGGGGAAAUGCAUAGAUAUCGCGCAGAACUCCGAUUGCGAAGGCAGCAUGCCGGCUCCACACUGACGCUGAGGCACGAAAGCGUGGGUAUCGAACAGGAUUAGAUACCCCAGUAGUC
rnacentral:rRNA from 1 species